CUUUUUAAAUGAUGAUGGUUUAAUCAUUUUAUAUUAGUUUGAACCUAUUUUUUGGGGCCCCUGUCAGUCAUGGGCCCUUGGAAUUGUCCUAACUUUUCCCC